GCCCUCCUCGUUCAAUGGAGAGGACGGCGGCCUACGAAGCCGCGGAUGGAAGUUCGAGUCUUCCGGAGGGCACCA
rnacentral:tRNA from 1 species